rnacentral:rRNA from 1 species
UACAGAGGGUGCGAGCGUUGUCCGGAAUCACUGGGCGUAAAGGGCGCGUAGGCGGUCUGGUAAGCGUGUGGUGAAAGCUCGGGGCUCAACCCCGAGUCGGCCGUGCGAACUGCUGGACUGGAGCAUGUCAGAGGCAGGCGGAAUUCCGGGUGUAGCGGUGGAAUGCGUAGAGAUCCGGAAGAACACCGGUGGCGAAGGCGGCCUGCUGGGACAUGGCUGACGCUGAGGCGCGACAGCGUCGGGAGCAAACAGG